AUUGAACGCUGGCGGCAGGCCUAACACAUGCAAGUCGAACGGUAACAGGAAUCAGCUUGCUGAUUCGCUGACGAGUGGCGGACGGGUGAGUAAUGUCUGGGAAACUGCCUGAUGGAGGGGGAUAACUACUGGAAACGGUAGCUAAUACCGCAUAACGUCGCAAGACCAAAGAGGGGGACCUUCGGGCCUCUUGCCAUCGGAUGUGCCCAGAUGGGAUUAGCUAGUAGGUGGGGUAACGGCUCACCUAGGCGACGAUCCCUAGCUGGUCUGAGAGGAUGACCAGCCACACUGGAACUGAGACACGGUCCAGACUCCUACGGGAGGCAGCAGUGGGGAAUAUUGCACAAUGGGCGCAAGCCUGAUGCAGCCAUGCCGCGUGUAUGAAGAAGGCCUUCGGGUUGUAAAGUACUUUCAGCGGGGAGGAAGGGAGUAAAGUUAAUACCUUUGCUCAUUGACGUUACCCGCAGAAGAAGCACCGGCUAACUCCGUGCCAGCCGCCGCAGUAA
rnacentral:rRNA from 1 species